GAGUUUGAUCCUGGCUCAGGAUGAACGCUGGCGGCGUGCUUAACACAUGCAAGUCGAACGGGAAUUACUUUAUUGAAACUUCGGUCGAUAUGAUUUAAUUCUAGUGGCGGACGGGUGAGUAACGCGUGGGUAACCUGCCCUAGAGUGGGGGACAACAGUUGGAAACGACUGCUAAUACCGCAUAAGCCCACGGUACCGCAUGGCACUGAGGGAAAAGGAUUUAUUCGCUUUAGGAUGGACUCGCGUCCAAUUAGCUAGUUGGUGAGGUAACGGCCCACCAAGGCGACGAUUGGUAGCCGGACUGAGAGGUUGAACGGCCACAUUGGGACUGAGACACGGCCCAGACUCCUACGGGAGGCAGCAGUGGGGGAUAUUGCACAAUGGGGGAAACCCUGAUGCAGCGACGCCGCGUGGAGGAAGAAGGUUUUCGGAUUGUAAACUCCUGUCGUUAGGGACGAUAAUGACGGUACCUAACAAGAAAGCACCGGCUAACUACGUGCCAGCCGCCGCGGUAAUAC
rnacentral:rRNA from 1 species